rnacentral:sRNA from 2 species
GACUCGAGCGAAGCGAGAGAACGUUGCGUCAGCAACGGCCCGCAGGGCGAGUCACGCAGUGGCGAGUCAUCCUCUAUCACCGACCA